ACGGAGGAUUCAAGCGUUAUCCGGAUUUAUUGGGUUUAAAGGGUGCGUAGGCGGUUUGAUAAGUUAGAGGUGAAAUGUUAGGGCUCAACCCUGAAACUGCCUCUAAUACUGUUGGACUAGAGAGUAGUUGCGGUAGGCGGAAUGUAUGGUGUAGCGGUGAAAUGCUUAGAGAUCAUACAGAACACCGAUUGCGAAGGCAGCUUACCAAACUAUAUCUGACGUUGAGGCACGAAAGCGUGGGGAGCAAACAG
rnacentral:rRNA from 1 species